GUGGGGAAUAUUGGACAAUGGGCGAAAGCCUGAUCCAGCAAUGCCGCGUGAGUGAUGAAGGCCCUAGGGUUGUAAAGCUCUUUUACCCGGGAUGAUAAUGACAGUACCGGGAGAAUAAGCUCCGGCUAACUUCGUGCCAGCAGCCGCGGUAAUACGAGGGGAGCUAGCGUUGUUCGGAAUUACUGGGCGUAAAGCGCGCGUAGGCGGUUUUUUAAGUCAGAGGUGAAAGCCCGGGGCUCAACCCCGGAAUUGCCUUUGAAACUGGAAAACUAGAAUCUUGGAGAGGUCAGUGGAAUUCCGAGUGUAGAGGUGAAAUUCGUAGAUAUUCGGAAGAACACCAGUGGCGAAGGCGACUGACUGGACAAGUAUUGACGCUGAGGUACGAAAGCGUGGGGAGCAAACAGGAUUAGAUACCCCAGUAGUCC
rnacentral:rRNA from 1 species